rnacentral:rRNA from 1 species
CCUACGGGAGGCUGCAGUGGGGAAUAUUGGACAAUGGGGGCAACCCUGAUCCAGCCAUGCCGCGUGUGUGAAGAAGGCCCUCGGGUUGUAAAGCACUUUCAGUGAGGAAGAACGCCUGGUGGUUAAUACCCAUCAGGAAAGACAUCACUCACAGAAGAAGCACCGGCUAACUCCGUGCCAGCAGCCGCGGUAAUACGGAGGGUGCGAGCGUUAAUCGGAAUUACUGGGCGUAAAGCGCGCGUAGGUGGCUUGAUAAGCCGGUUGUGAAAGCCCCGGGCUCAACCUGGGAACGGCAUCCGGAACUGUCAAGCUAGAGUGCAGGAGAGGAAGGUAGAAUUCCCGGUGUAGCGGUGAAAUGCGUAGAGAUCGGGAGGAAUACCAGUGGCGAAGGCGGCCUUCUGGACUGACACUGACACUGAGGUGCGAAAGGGUGGGUAGCAAACAGGAUUAGAUACCCGGGUAGUC